GAGUUUGAUCGUGGCUCAGAUUGAACGCUGGCGGCAUGCCUUACACAUGCAAGUCGAACGGCAGCAUGAUCUAGCUUGCUAGAUUGAUGGCGAGUGGCGAACGGGUGAGUAAUACAUCGGAACGUGCCCUGUAGUGGGGGAGUAACUAGUCGAAAGAAUUAGCUAAUACCGCCAUACGACCUGAGGGUGGAAAGUAGGGGGGACCGGCAAGGCCUCAUGCUAUAGGAGCGGCCGAUGUCUGAUUAGCUAGUUGGUGGGGUAAAGGGCCCGACCAAGGCGACGAUCAGUAGCUGGUCUGAGAGGACGAUCAGCCACACUGGGACUGAGACACGGCCCAGACUCCUACGGGAGGCAGCAGUGGGGAAUUUU
rnacentral:rRNA from 1 species